ensembl:lncRNA novel transcript
GGCAAAGUGCAGAGGAAGGAGGAGCCACUGCUAGUGGGUACGAGGUUUCUUCUUGGUACAAGGACUUCUACGUUCUGUCCUCCUGCAGCCAUCUAAAAUCAGCCAGAAAGGUUUAGGAUCCCAUUUCCUGUUCUUGCAUCGGCUGUCCAAGCUGCUGUUCCUCUCUCCGCAGUAAGAGGGUGUUUCUCUCCCUGUUCAAGAGGAGCACCAACACUUGAGGACAGUAUCAUCCCUAGACCUUGGCAAGAGAGACCACUGAGUGAGGCAUCCAUGGAACCCAAGGAAGAGGCCUACGAAGAACCUGCAGUCACCUUCUAGACCAUUCUCCCUCACCAAACUGUCCCCUCCAGAGAGCUGAGGACUGGAUCUUCCCAUGCUGACACCUCCAGUGGGAAAGAAAAUUCUAGAUUCAGCUCUGGGUGUCCAAGUCAUUAUGAAGGCAUAUUUGUCAAGGUGGAAGAAAAGGACAUAUUCUAUUUAGCAGUUUUUUAGAGGACAACUUCUCUUCACUGAGGACAACACAGAAUCCUGGAGAUAUUUUUGAUGAGUAGUAUGAGAGAGAAAUACAUUGAAAGAGGAUGUGCUUGACCUCUGCAGACUGAGCCUGGCCAGGUCCCUGCCAGGAGCGUCACCUUCACCUGGCCCCUCACUAGCUGUCUGCUGUCUUCUUACAAUGCUGGUGUGUCUCCAGGGCUGUGCUGAUCAAGGAGUCUCACUGGCUCUCCAGAAGAGCACAGAAGUCCUAAUUUGUAGCCUUUGCUGACUUCCGUGAUUCCAGUUCCCUCACUGACGGCAGAGUCGGGAGGAGGAGCCGUGAUGCUGACAUGCCACACCGGGUCAAGAAAGAAGUAAUGCAUGACUCUGAUUUGCGGCUGCAGGAUAAAUCCGAACUAUUUCAGGGAGAUGUCAUGGAGAGCUCAUCUCUCAGCAUCAAAGUUGCCUCUCCUGACUUUUGAAUUUUAAGUGUUCUGUGUGGAAGAAAAAUGGAGACAACAAAUUUCUAUGCAUGGAUUCAAAGAAUCCUCGUAAUAUACAGACUACAUUCUCCCCAGCUUUUUAUCUCUAUAUAUUCUUUUUGUUGAGUUUCAACCACAUAGGGUUGAAAUUCACCUUCCCACAUUACAUUUUUCAUCAAUAGUUGAAGACCUAUGUAUGUAAAUAUCAGGAACUAUCAGAACUCCCUGCAACAGGAAACCUGACCCCCAACUCCCCCGAAAUGCAUCAUGAUAAACAGUCACUUGCCAAAAUAACAAA